AGAACGAACGCUGGCGGCAUGCCUAAUACAUGCAAGUCGAACGAAGGCUUCGGCCUUAGUGGCGCACGGGUGCGUAACGCGUGGGAAUCUGCCCCUUGGUUCGGAAUAACAGUUGGAAACGACUGCUAAUACCGGAUGAUGACGAAAGUCCAAAGAUUUAUCGCCAAGGGAUGAGCCCGCGUAGGAUUAGCUAGUUGGUGAGGUAAAGGCUCACGAGGCGACGAUCCUUAGCUGGUCUGAGAGGAUGAUCAGCCACACGUGGGACUGACGACGACCGGCCCAAGACCUCCCGUAACGGGGACG
rnacentral:rRNA from 1 species